CCUACGUGCGGCAGCAGUGAGGAAUAUUGGUCAAUGGGCGAGAGCCUGAACCAGCCAAGUCGCGUGAAGGAUGAAGGAUCUAUGGUUUGUAAACUUCUUUUAUAUGGGAAUAAAGUGAGGAACGUGUUCCUUUUUGUAUGUACCAUAUGAAUAAGCAUCGGCUAACUCCGUGCCAUCAGCCGCGGUAAUACGGAGGAUGCGAUCGUUAUCCGGAUUUAUUGGGUUUAAAGGGUGCGUAGGUGGUUAAUUAAGUCAGCGGUGAAAGUUUGUGGCUCAACCAUAAAAUUGCCGUUGAAACUGGUUGACUUGAGUAUAUUUGAGGUAGGCGGAAUGCGUGGUGUAGCGGUGAAAUGCAUAGAUAUCACGCAGAACUCCGAUUGCGAAGGCAGCUUACUAAACUAUAACUGACACUGAAGCACGAAAGCGUGGGGAGCAAACAGGAUUAGAUACCCGGGUAGUC
rnacentral:rRNA from 1 species